rnacentral:rRNA from 1 species
GAUGAACGCUGGCGGCGUGCCUAAUACAUGCAAGUCGAGCGAACAGACGAGGAGCUUGCUCCUCUGACGUUAGCGGCGGACGGGUGAGUAACACGUGGAUAACCUACCUAUAAGACUGGGAUAACUUCGGGAAACCGGAGCUAAUACCGGAUAAUAUAUUGAACCGCAUGGUUCAAUAGUGAAAGACGGUUUUGCUGUCACUUAUAGAUGGAUCCGCGCCGCAUUAGCUAGUUGGUAAGGUAACGGCUUACCAAGGCAACGAUGCGUAGCCGACCUGAGAGGGUGAUCGGCUACACUGGAACUGAGACACGGUACAGACUCCUACGGGAGGCAGCAGUAGGGAAUCUUCCGCAAUGGGCGAAAGCCUGACGGAGCAACGCCGCGUGAGUGAUGAAGGUCUUCGGAUCGUAAAACUCUGUUAUUAGGGAAGAACAAAUGUGUAAGUAACUAUGCACGUCUUGACGGUACCUAAUCAGAAAGCCACGGCUAACUACGUG